GAUGAGGGGAGGCUAACAUUGAGGCACAUCCUACACGGAGAGAGUUUGGCCAGUGAGAGUCUGUCAGCAUUAUGAAAAAAUAUCGUAUCCUGCAUCUCCUGGACAUCUUUGUUAUGAAAGAACGCCGUGGAUUUGCAGAGCAGGUCAGCCUAUGUGUAGGGAUACGCCACACAUUACACGCAAAAACCCUGCGGUAGCGGGGAAGGGUGAUGGAGCUUGAUGAGCUGGCCUUGACCUAUGGCACUCAUUUAUUUAAUGGCGAAUAAACGCUGCCAACUGCCCGAGAGUUCCUAUAACAAGCUACGCAAGGCCUUUGGGGAUGUGCAUGUCCCGGCACUCAAGAUCUUUGACGACAACGAUGAGCUGCAUCCCAUCGUUGGCUAUUCGCAGGUUGAGCUGUAUGAAGCAGUUAUUGGGCAUGGCCAUUCGUCUGACGCAGGCCUUUGUGGCUAUUUAAUGCUUGAUGGAGGGCUUUCGUCGGCUGUGUCUGCAUAUAUCAGGCCCAGAUGGUCACUCAGGGCAUGAGCAAGGAAUCAUACUUGCAAUAACUGCCGCACUUCAGUGUCCACAUAUAUUGUCGAGCGAUGCUGAGGAGAAAAUCGAAACCGUUUCCGGCAUCAUAGAGCUGGAGUUUGAGGAAUAAAGUGGUCUCUGGCAGCUCUACAAUACACAGAUGGCCGAUGGGGUCCGAUUCGCCAACAUUGAGCCAACUAUGUGAUCUACCUGGUUAUAGAACUUAAGUAUAUCAAAAGGCCGUCACCCAACUAAUUUUCGAUCAGAUAAACCAAGCCCUAAUUCCGCCUGACACCUAACAAAUCUCCCAUCGGACAUUAAAUGGUUCAAUUAUGUUCGUUGCACUGCAGCCACCUGGCGCCUUCUAAUUUGAAUAUAACCCAUAACACCGAGUUUUUGUCAGACAUCAUUAACAUACUCGAUAUAUUAGUAUCGAUAGUUCCCUUGAUCGUUUUGCAGCACUAGUUAUCGGCGCAGAAAAAACUACGGCGUUUCACAAUUUUACUGGAAAAACAACUAAAAUAACAAAAGCGAGUCUUUUGAAACAGCCAAUCUUCUAGAAAAUUGAUUCUUCUUUCUUAUGAAAUUAAAAGUUCAAUGUUGGGAGUCUUAUCUUGCUUAUAAUAUUAAAGAGAAUGUCAGAAUCGGGGAAUAUGAAUUCCAUCGGAAUAUUUGCGGUAUAUUUUGACUCUGAUAAAGGUAUUAUUCGGUAUACUUUUGAGGGUCAGUGGUAUAUUUGAUCGAUAAAACUGCGGUCACACUGCAAUAAGAACAUGCGCCAUAUUUCUCAAAACUUUAAAUUUAUUGUAAAAACCAUAACAAAAAGGAUAAAAAGGUAUCAAAAACCAAAAGUAAAACGAUAAACAGUCAUGACGGAUACCUCAGCAUAUCAAUUGCGAUACCUAAUCUUGGGCUGCAAGCUGAUGUACGAACAAUAGAGUCCAGCUUGUGACUGGCGAGGUCUGAUCCCUGAUGGGAAAGCACGUGGAUCGGUUACCGGCGCACUCUGGCUCCAACUGCACAACAAUCUGACUGUGUCCAAUUAGAUAGCACCCAAAUUCAAUACCCCGCAUUUUGACGCUCGAGGCACAUCUGAAGCGAUUGCAGUUGGAACACGAAUGAUACGGAACAGAUAUUAGGCCGUGGAAAAGUGGGAAGGCACGCAGUCUGAUUGACAGAAGCAUCUCAUGAACUGUGGGUCUCGGUAACAGAAGAAAGAUUUACAUUGCUGGUCCAUCCGGGCUAGGGAUCACAGAUUUUGGCAGCUAUGCCAUAAACGCACAAAAAGCCACCACCAGCAAUGAGUUGCAGCAUGGCACCAAUGUGCAGUUCAAAGAGUCCGAGGAGGAGAGCGAAAAUGAUAAAUAUGGCGAGAUUUGGGACAAUUAUGUACCAGAUGAGGGGGAGGCUAACAUUGAGGCACAUCCUACACGGAGAGAGUUUGGCCAGUGAGAGUCUGUCAGCAUUAUGAAAAAAUAUCGUAUCCUGCAUCUCCUGGACGUCUUUGUUAUGAAAGAACGCCGUGGAUUUGCAGAGCAGGUACAGCUGCAGUUUGAAAAAUGUAGUGAUCUCUGGCAGCUCUACAAUACGCAGAUGGCCGAUGGAGAGUGAAUGCCACGUCAGAACAACCUUCUCACAGAAGAUCGAGGAAGGCAAGUAUGAUCGACUGAGGACUUUGGGAUGCGAUCAGGAUUGCAAAUUCUCCAUCGAAGUAGCCGAUUUCCAAUCUGAGAGUGAGAGCACGUCGGACUAGGUUAAGAUUAGCAAAACACAUGCAUCCGCCAAUUUUGUAAAUAUAUGAAAUAAACCCAGUUUUGUAUA